UGUGUAAUGAUAAUAAUAAUACGUGAAAGCCUCAAUGAUUCUGUCAGCGAAGUACAAAAUGUAGAAAAUGUAUUUGAAUUGUUUCAAAAGUCUAAUAUAAUCUACAUCAAUAUGGAUAACAGAGUUUAUUCAUCGAUACGACGUGAAAUGACACGAGACGAGUGUAGAAAAUGUUUACGCUAUCUAGAAUUAGAUGCUUAUGGAAAUAUGGUAUCGGUUUUACGUGCUCAAGGACUUUUAACUAGUAGCAAACAAAGAUUGUUACAAGAACUUGCUAAAAUUCUUCAUAUAUCUAAUGAAAGACAUCGUGCAGAAGUACGUAGAGCUGUUAACGAUGAAAAACUCACAAUGAUAGCCGAACAGUUAAACGGACCAAAUACUGCUUUAGAUUGGAUCAUGGAAGGUCGUCGUUCAACACCACUUUUACCUAGAUUGAAAGCACGAAAUGCUUUUACAAUGUUAGCAAACAGUCUAUCACUUGCAACAACUCGUGCUAAUGAAAAAAGUCCAAUUGAAGAGAACAAGGAGGAAGAUAAAGAUAUAUUAGAUGAAUCGAAGAAAUGUUUAAAAAUUGAAAAAGUAUCAUCAGUUGAAGCAGAAUCAUGUAAUGCCCAAGCAACUAUCAAUUGUAGAAAAAGGUCCAUACACGAAACAAAUAAGGUACUAAAUAUUGAUAAGGAUCAAGAAAAAAGGCCUAUAAAAAUAAAAUACCAAGAUAUUCAACAAGUUAACUCUGCCAAACAAGAUCUUUCUUCAUUUUCACCACCACACAAUAAGGUAUUGGUGUUAUCUUCUAAUUCAUUGGAGACAUUGAAUCAUGCUAAUGAAAAUGAAACAGUACUCGAAGCUAAAAAGGAGCAAAAUGAAACAACGAUUUCACAGCACCAAGGUGUUACUCUUAUCCCACUCUCUGUGAUGUGUGCAGGAUCUAGUCUAAUAGCACCUUCGAAAGAUGUACUGUCAGAGAGUACAAAUACUUUGGUAUCCGUUCAUUCAACAAUUAAUAGUAAUACAAAAGUUACUACUUGUGCAACUAAUUCCACCAAGAAUAAAGAUAAAACAACAGUACAAAAUAAGAUUAAUACAAGAUUACCAGUUAAUACUGGAACAUUAGAUAGUUUAUCAUCACACAUCAGAAAUAGUGAAACACAAUCAGAAAAUCGAGAUAUACAAUUACGUCCACCAACUUCAAAAUCAGAAGUAGCAAAUUUAAAUCCUUGUGUUAAAAAUUUACCAACGACAGUACAAGCUAACGUGAAAACUGUUUCAUCUAUUAAAUCUGCUAUAUCAACUUGUGCACGAUUUACAGCUCCUGGAACAAUGGUAUCAAGCGGUCCUGGUCCACCUAUUGUUAAAUCUGUGGUAACAAAUUUAGCAUGUAAAAAAUUGCCAGUUGCGAUUAUCAAUCAAUCUGCUGCUAAAAUGCGCAUGACAUUAAAUUCAGAUAAAACUGUAAAUAUAACUAAUCAUCCUAAUAAAAAAUUAACAACUAAGACUAAUGUAAUAGUAAUACAAAAAGGAAGUAACAAAGGCAUAAUGCUGUCUCAUGCAGGCAAGGAAGUAUUAGGUAAAGUAAUAAUGGGAGGAAAGAAAUUAUCGGUAGCUAAUCAACAAAAUCCAAGUACGGUUAACAUUUUACCACAUCCUAUUAAUUUAGAUAAUUGCAAUCAAACACCAACAAUGUUAACAACUACGCAUGUGGAUACUAUAAAAACAAGUAUAAAGGAAGGAGAUAACAAUGAAGUGCAUUUAAAAGAUACUGGAUCUUCUUUCAAAACUAACAGUUCAAUUAAUACAUUAGAAGAAACAGUAUGUAGAAAAUCUAACGAAGUCUGCCGAGAAGUUCAUUCUCAAGUAGUAAAUAUUGCAAAUCUUAAAAAACUUAAGAGAAAUGAAGAAGAUCGUACAUAUUCUAAAACAAUUACACAAGGUAAGCUUUGAUAUCAAACAAAUGUAUUAGGUCAAUAAGUAUGAAAUGUCUGAUUACCUAAAGCCUCAAGUUUGAUACCGAAUAUCUCCGAUAUUUCACUCCGAUUGUCCUUUAUUUUUUUUUUUUUGUAUUAAGAAGGUACGCCAUCUGGCUUUCAGAUGCACUCUUUUGUUUUUAAUAGUCUAUCGUAUUGUCGUCUGGAGGUUAAAUAUUGUAAGCCAUGGAUAAGACAAAAAUGCGAGUUAUUUUCGAAUAUGAGUUCCGUCGUGGAACUAAUGCAGUGCAGGAAAGCCGAAAUGUUAACAAAGUGUUCGGCAAGGAUGUAGCUAACUAACGUACAGUAUUUCGAUGCUUCAAAAAAUUCCGAUCUGGAGAUUUUGAUCUUGAAAAUGAACCACGUGGGUGGCCUAAGAACAAGGUGGAUGACGACCAACUGAAAGCUGUAGUGGAAGCAAAUCCAUCUGAAACGACGCGUGGACUAGCAGCAAGGUUUGAAGUUACCAUUCCAACAAUAUUAAGUCAUGUGAAAGCAAUCGGAAAAGUAAAGGAACUGGAUAGGUUUGUUCCGCAUGAGUUGAGCGAGCUUCAGCAACGGAACCGUUUCGAGGCUUGCUGUUCUUUGGUAUUAAGACUAAAAGGCGAUCCAUUUUUGCAUCGGAUAGUCACCUGCGAUGAAAAGUAGAUACCUGAUAAUCGCAAGCGUUCGGCACAAUAGUUGGACAAGGAUAAAGUGCCAAAACACAACCCAAAGCCGAGUAUACACCAAAAACAAACUAAUGGUGUCUGUUUGGUGAUCCAGCACGGGUGUUAUACACUAUAGUUUUAUGAGACUUGUGCAAUCAAUAACAGCGGACCUCUACUAUGAACAGUUAGAAGAAAUGAUGAGGUAGC